rnacentral:misc_RNA from 1 species
GAUGAAGAACGCAGCGAAAUGCGAUAAGUAGUGUGAAUUGCAGAAUUCAGUGAAUCAUCGAAUCUUUGAACGCACAUUGCGCCCCUUGGUAUUCCAUGGGGCAUGCCUGUUCGAGCGUCAUUUGUACCUUCAAGCCUUGUUUGGUGUUGGGUGUUUGUCUCGCCUCUGCGCGCAGACUCGCCUCAAAACAAUUGGCAGCCGGCGUAUUGAUUUCGGAGCGCAGUACAUCUCGCGCUUUGCACUCAGAACGACGACGUCCAAAAGUACAUUUUUACACUCUUGACCUCGGAUCAGGUAGGGAUACCCGCUGAACUUAAGCAUAUCAAUAAGCGGAGGA